rnacentral:rRNA from 1 species
GCAGUCCGAGCGGAUGAAGGGAGCUUGCUUCCCUGAUUCCAGCGGCGGACGGGUGAGUAAUGCCUAGGAAUCUGCCUGGUAGUGGGGGACAACGUCUCGAAAGGGACGCUAAUACCGCAUACGUCCUACGGGAGAAAGCAGGGGACCUUCGGGCCUUGCGCUAUCAGAUGAGCCUAGGUCGGAUUAGCUAGUUGGUGAGGUAAUGGCUCACCAAGGCGACGAUCCGUAACUGGUCUGAGAGGAUGAUCAGUCACACUGGAACUGAGACACGGUCCAGACUCCUACGGGAGGCAGCAGUGGGGAAUAUUGGACAAUGGGCGAAAGCCUGAUCCAGCCAUGCCGCGUGUGUGAAGAAGGUCUUCGGAUUGUAAAGCACUUUAAGUUGGGAGGAAGGGUUGUAGAUUAAUACUCUGCUGUUUUGACGUUACCGACAGAAUAAGCACCGGCUAACUCUGUGCCAGCAGCCGCGGUAAUACAGAGGGUGCAAGCGUUAAUCGGAAUUACUGGGCGUAAAGCGCGCG